CAGAAGUAGAAAAAAAAAACCCAUGCGAACCAUAGUCUUUGCAAGGAAGUCAUUUUUUUCUCGAAGAGCUUUAUUAGGUUCAUCAUUGUCGCAGUCAUAGAACCAACCAUUGCAACGCCAUUUGAUUUCUCUUUUGCGUUUCUCCUUCAUCCUCACCUGACCUAGACGACAUUAAAAGGAAACCCAGCCACCAUAGCGAUGAUUCUGACGAGAUCGAAACACGACAAGAUGACGACAAGGGCACUACACCGUGGCGGACAACAAUGAUUCCAACGAAGACCGACCACCAUGACACAGAUGAUGAUGUUGAUCAAGAUGGAAGAGUGGAGGAGAGUUCUUCUAAGGGUGAAUCUAAUAACCCUGAAAAAGGAAUUGAUGAAGAUUGAAGGUUGCACAACAAAUUGACGUGUUGUUUGAGCUUCAAGUUAGGCCAUUUAAAGGACUAUGAUUUGGACUUUGAUCAUUUCAAAUGUUGAUUUCCUUGUGUUGUAUUUUGAUCAUUUCCAUAUUCUACUGCACAUUUUCUGUAUUGAAUAUUCCUGUUGGACUUUGUGUUUUCUUACUUUGUAUCUGGUGCACAAUUUCCUUUGGCUUUGUAAUUUCCAAGUUUGAAUUAUCUUGGUGUUUCUGG